AGUGAACGCUGGCGGUAGGCCUAACACAUGCGAGUCGAACGGCAGCACAGUAAGAGCUUGCUCUUACGGGUGGCGAGUGGCGGACGGGUGAGGAAUACAUCGGAAUCUACUUUUUCGUGGGGGAUAACGUAGGGAAACUUACGCUAAUACCGCAUACGACCUACGGGUGAAAGCAGGGGAUCUUCGGACCUUGCGCGAUUGAAUGAGCCGAUGUCGGAUUAGCUAGUUGGCGGGGUAAAGGCCCACCAAGGCGACGAUCCGUAGCUGGUCUGAGAGGAUGAUCAGCCACACUGGAACUGAGACACGGUCCAGACUCCUACGGGAGGCAGCAGUGGGGAAUAUUGGACAAUGGGCGCAAGCCUGAUCCAGCCAUACCGCGUGGGUGAAGAAGGCCUUCGGGUUGUAAAGCUCUUUUGUUGGGAAAGAAAAGCAGCAGGUUAAUACCCCGCUGUUCUGACGGUACCCAAAGAAUAAGCACCGGCUAACUUCGUG
rnacentral:rRNA from 1 species